GCAGUCGUACGCUUCUUUUUCCACCGGAGCUUGCUCCACCGGAAAAAGAGGAGUGGCGAACGGGUGAGUAACACGUGGGUAACCUGCCCAUCAGAAGGGGAUAACACUUGGAAACAGGUGCUAAUACCGUAUAACAAUCGAAACCGCAUGGUUUUGAUUUGAAAGGCGCUUUCGGGUGUCGCUGAUGGAUGGACCCGCGGUGCAUUAGCUAGUUGGUGAGGUAACGGCUCACCAAGGCCACGAUGCAUAGCCGACCUGAGAGGGUGAUCGGCCACAUUGGGACUGAGACACGGCCCAAACUCCUACGGGAGGCAGCAGUAGGGAAUCUUCGGCAAUGGACGAAAGUCUGACCGAGCAACGCCGCGUGAGUGAAGAAGGUUUUCGGAUCGUAAAACUCUGUUGUUAGAGAAGAAUAAGGAUGAGAGUAACUGUUCAUCCCUUGACGGUAUCUAACCAGAAAGCCACGGCUAACUACGUGCCAGCAGCCGCGGUAAUACGUAGGUGGCAAGCGUUGUCCGGAUUUAUUGGGCGUAAAGCGAGCGCAGGCGGUUUCUUAAGUCUGAUGUGAAAGCCCCCGGCUCAACCGGGGAGGGUCAUUGGAAACUGGGAGACUUGAGUGCAGAAGAGGAGAGUGGAAUUCCAUGUGUAGCGGUGAAAUGCGUAGAUAUAUGGAGGAACACCAGUGGCGAAGGCGGCUCUCUGGUCUGUAACUGACGCUGAGGCUCGAAAGCGUGGGGAGCAAACAGGAUUAGAUACCCUGGUAGUCCACGCCGUAAACGAUGAGUGCUAAGUGUUGGAGGGUUUCCGCCCUUCAGUGCUGCAGCUAACGCAUUAAGCACUCCGCCUGGGGAGUACGACCGCAAGGU
rnacentral:rRNA from 1 species